GGGAGAGCGAGGGAACCGGGAGCGAAAGCAGGAAAAGGGCGCAGCCGUGGCGAGAGCGAGGGGCGGCCGUGCGAGCAAAGGCACGCAAGAAGCGGAGACGCGGGAGAGAUGACCUAAAUCGCGUAAGGACCUUUUGAGAUAUAAAGGACAAUGGCUGGACCAGGAAAAAUGCAAACCACCAAGCUAUGGGAGAAACUUCUAACUGCAGCAGGAAUGGGGCAGGUCUCACUUCAGGAUUCUUCCAGUCUUGUUCCAUGCUGGUUUGUCUGGACCCUUUCCACACAUCCAUUUUGGGUAUUUCUCAAAGAAAAAUAAUGUGGAAUUUAAAAAAGGGACAGACACCAAGGGAGAAAUAGCUCUACAAAGAAGCAGGUUCUGCCACAAUUGUGCAACUAGCUAAGUUCUUAGAGCAGAAGAAGUGAAACUGAUUAAAUGCUAGGCAACCCUUCUCCAGGAGAGAAGAAAGAAAUGGAUGAAAUUGAUGGAUUUAAGAAAAAUGGCAAAAACACAACAAAAGGCCACUUCUGUAUCAAUUCUUCUUGAAGAGGGGUUGCUGUAUCUUAAGACCAAAACAUGUUUUAGAAUACUAUUAAAGUGAGAUAAAAAAAAAAAAA